GAAUAUUGGACAAUGGGCGAAAGCCUGAUCCAGCAAUGCCGCGCGAGUGAUGAAGGCCUUAGGGUUGUAAAGCUCUUUUACCCGGGAUGAUAAUGACAGUACCGGGAGAAUAAGCUCCGGCUAACUCCGUGCCAGCAGCCGCGGUAAUACGGAGGGGGCUAGCGUUGUUCGGAAUUACUGGGCGUAAAGCGCGCGUAGGCGGAUGGUCAAGUCGGGGGUGAAAUCCCGGGGCUCAACCCCGGAACUGCCUCGGAUACUGGACGUCUGGAGGACGGGAGAGGCGAGUGGAAUGCCGAGUGUAGAGGUGAAAUUCGUAGAUAUUCGGCGGAACACCCGUGGCGAAGGCGGCUCGCUGGUCCGUUUCUGACGCUGAGGCGCGAAAGCGUGGGGAGCAAACAGG
rnacentral:rRNA from 1 species